rnacentral:rRNA from 1 species
UUAGAUCUUUCGGGAUCUAGAGAGCGGCGCACGGGUGCGGAACACGUGNUGCAACCUACCUUUAUCAGGGGGAUAGCCUUUCGAAAGGAAGAUUAAUACCCCAUAAUAUAUUAGAUGGCAUCAUUAGAUAUUGAAAACUCCGGUGGAUAGAGAUGGGCACGCGCAAGAUUAGAUAGUUGGUGAGGUAACGGCUCACCAAGUCAAUGAUCUUUAGGGGGCCUGAGAGGGUGAUCCCCCACACUGGUACUGAGACACGGACCAGACUCCUACGGGAGGCAGCAGUGAGGAAUAUUGGACAAUGGGUGAGAGCCUGAUCCAGCCAUCCCGCGUGAAGGAUGACGGCCCUAUGGGUUGUAAACUUCUUUUGUAUAGGGAUAAACCUACCCUCGUGAGGGUAGCUGAAGGUACUAUACGAAUAAGCACCGGCUAACUCCGUGCCAGCAGCCGCGGUAAUACGGAGGGUGCAAGCGUUAUCCGGAUUUAUUGGGUUUAAAGGGUCCGUANGCGGACUCGUAAGUCAGUGGUGAAAUCUCAUANCUUAACUAUGAAACUGCCAUUGAUACUGCGGGUCUUGAGUAAGGUAGAGGUAGCUGGAAUAAGUAGUGUAGCGGUGAAAUGCCUAGAUAUUACUUAGAACACCAAUUGCGAAGGCGGGUUACCAUGUCUUAACUGA